GACGAACGCUGGCGGCGUGCCUAAUACAUGCCAGUCGAGCGGACUUACAAAGCUUGCUUUUUAAGUUAGCGGCGGACGGGUGAGUAACACGUGGGCAACCUGCCUGUAAGACUGGGAUAACUUCGGGAAACCGGAGCUAAUACCGGAUAAUCCUUUUCUACUCAUGUAGAAAAGCUGAAAGACGGUUUACGCUGUCACUUACAGAUGGGCCCGCGGCGCAUUAGCUAGUUGGUGAGGUAACGGCUCACCAAGGCGACGAUGCGUAGCCGACCUGAGAGGGUGAUCGGCCACACUGGGACUGAGACACGGCCCAGACUCCUACGGGAGGCAGCAGUAGGGAAUCUUCCGCAAUGGACGAAAGUCUGACGGAGCAACGCCGCGUGAGUGAUGAAGGUUUUCGGAUCGUAAAACUCUGUUGUUAGGGAAGAACAAGUACGAGAGUAACUGCUCGUAACUUGACGGUACCUAACCAGAAAGCCACGGCUAACUACGUG
rnacentral:rRNA from 1 species